GUGUGGGUCAUCCAGAGCCCUAUAAUAGAAAUUCUACAUAAAGAAGCAGGUGCCACCCCACUCCCCGGAACGUUCCUUGCUCGCCUACACCAAGACCUGGACAACCCAGGUGGACUUGGGGCCUUUAGCAUUGCCGGAGAGGAGGAGAGGAUCAGGAGGGGACACGGAAUUCUGGAGCGCCCCCGAGAAGAGAUGUGGGCCAGAUUUGUCAGAGAUGUCCUCAAACAUUACAUCUGCAUGUCUGCGGAUAGCAGUUAAUGGACCAGCACCAGAGUAUAAUACAACAGUAACUGAUUGCAUUUUAUCGAAGUGCUUUGUUUUCAGGGUAGAUUUACUUUACCCGAGGGUGUCCAUUUCUGGCUAUUUCUGAGAACUACUUCUGAGUAAAAUAUUGUACUAUUUAGUAUGCAGAACCUGCAUUCUUAAUGCAGCUAACGCGAGCUUGCAGCUAACGC